rnacentral:misc_RNA from 1 species
AACGCACCUUGCGCUCCUUGGUAUUCCGAGGAGCAUGCCUGUUUGAGUGUCAUUAAAUUCUCAACCUUUAUUAACUUUUUGGUUAGUAAGUGGAUUGGAAGUGGGGGCAUGUUGGUUUCUUCAUUGAAAUAAACUCCCCUGAAAUGCAUUAGCUGGUUGCCUUGUGCGAACAUGUCUAUUGGUGUGAUAAUUAUCUACGCCGUGGGCUAUUUGCCGUUUAUAGCACUGCUUAUAAUUGUCUGUUCAUUCAGACAAUAUAUGACAAUUUGACCUCAAAUCAGGUAGGACUACCCGCUGAACUUAA